rnacentral:rRNA from 1 species
UCCGUAGGUGAACCUGCGGAAGGAUCAUUAUUGAAUUAAUGUAGAGUUUGGUUGUAGCUGGCUCCUAAUUAAACUUGGGGGCAUGUGCACACCUUUCUCUUUCAUCCCAUACACACCUGUGCACCUGUGAGACAGAUGUUUUGUGGGGGGGAAGGAACUUUAUUGGACCUUCUACUCCCCCUUGACUUCUGUCUACUUAAUUCAUAUAAACUCAAUUUAUUUUAAAACGGAUGUAAUGGAUGUAACACAUCUAAUACUAAGUUUCAACAACGGAUCUCUUGGCUCUCGCAUCGAUGAAGAACGCAGCGAAAUGCGAUAAGUAAUGUGAAUUGCAGAAUUCAGUGAAUCAUCGAAUCUUUGAACGCACCUUGCGCUCCUUGGUAUUCCUUGGAGCAUGCCUGUUUGAGUAUCAUGAAAUCUUCAAAGUCAAACCUUUUGUUAAUUCAAUUGGUUCUGCUUUGGUAUUGGAGGAUUAUUGCAGCUUCACACCUGCUCCUCUUUGUGCAUUAGCUGGAUCUCAGUGUUAUGCUUGGUUCCACUCAGCGUGAUAAGUUAUCUAUCGCUGAGGACACCCUGUUAAAAAGGGGUGGCCAAGGUAAAUGCAGAUGAACCGCUUCUAAUAGUCCAUUGACUUGGACAAUAUCUAAUUUAUGAUCUGAUCUCACAUCAGGUAGGACUACCCGCUGAACUUAAGCAUAUCAAUAAGCGGAGGA